AUGGGGCAGGUGAAGGCUGAAGUGAACAAAUUUGGCCAUAUUGGGUGCAGGGUCAGCGGGGCUGCUUUUAACACUGGCAAAGUGUAUGUUGUAGCUGCCAGUGACCCCUUUAUCGACCUCAACUACACGGUUUACACGUUCCCGCACGACUCCACCCACGGCAAGUUCCACAGCACUGUCAAGGCUGAGAACGGGAAGCUUGUCCUCAGUGGAAAUCCCAUCACCAUCUUCCAGGAGGGAGAUCCCACCAAAAGCAAAUGGGGAGACGCUGGCGCUGAUUACGUGGUGGAGUCCACUGGUGUCUUCACUACCUAGGAAAAGGUUGGGCUUAUUUGCAGGGUAGAGCCAAAAGGGUCAUUAUCUCCGCCUCCUCUGUUGACACCCCCAUGUUUGUGAUGACCAUGAAUCACCUCACAUUUGUCAGCAACACCUCCUGCACCACCAACUGCUUCCCCCUCCCCCCCAGCCAAGGUCAUCCAUGACAACUUUGGCAUCAUGGAGGGACUCAUCGUGGAGUGACCGUCCCACGUCAUCACUGCCCCCCAGAAGAAUGUGGAGGGCCCCUCUGGGUAGCAGUGUCGUGAUGGCCACGAGGCCAUCCAGAACAUCAUCUCUGUGUCCACCAGUGCUGCCAAGGUCAUGGGCAAGAUCAUUCCGGAGCUGGAUAAGAAGCUUGUGGGCAUGGACUUCCACGUCCCCACCACCAAUAUGUCCAUCGUGGACCUGACCUGCUGUCUAGAGAAACCUGCCAAAUAUGAUGUCAUCUAGAAGGUAGUGAAGCAGACAUCUGAGGGCUCCCUCAAGACCAUCCUGGGCUACACUAAGCACCAGGUUGUAUCUUCCUACUUCUUCCACCUUUGAUGCUGGGGCUGGCAUUGCCCUCAACGACCACUCUAUCAAGCUCAUCUCUUGGUAUGACGAUGAAUUUGGCUACAGCAGCAGGGGGGUGAACUUCAUGGUCCACGUGGAAUCCAAGGAGUAAGAGCCCCUGGACCACAAGCCCCAGCAAGAGCAUGAGAGGAAGAGAAAAGCCCUCAGUCGCUGGCGAGUCCCUGCCACCCUCUGUCCCUGGCCACAUAGAAUCUCCCCUCCUCACAGUGUCCAUGCCAGACCCCCUGAAAAAUG